GCGGGUAUCGUAUAGCAGCUAUUAUGUGUCCUUGCCAAGGACAAGAUGGGGGUGCGACUCCCCCUACCCGCUCCA
rnacentral:tRNA from 1 species